ACCCUUCCAUCCGCGCCGUCGAAUCCCUAUCUUAGGAGGGUCGGGCAACCGACUAUGACGAUAAACGCCUUUUGGAAUAGACGCUGCGGACCCGGGGGCGGUACCCGGCGCCUCCACCAAAUCUCCGGUGUUGGACGGAGCAUGGGGGCGAAAUAGGAUCGACGCGUGUAGUAAAGGA
rnacentral:tmRNA from 1 species